rnacentral:rRNA from 1 species
AACGAACGCUGGCGGCAGGCUUAACACAUGCAAGUCGAACGCCCCGCAAGGGGAGUGGCAGACGGGUGAGUAACGCGUGGGAAUCUACCCAGUUCUACGGAACAACUGAGGGAAACUUCAGCUAAUACCGUAUACGCCCUACGGGGGAAAGAUUUAUCGGAAUUGGAUGAGCCCGCGUUGGAUUAGCUAGUUGGUGAGGUAACGGCUCACCAAGGCGACGAUCCAUAGCUGGUCUGAGAGGAUGAUCAGCCACACUGGGACUGAGACACGGCCCAGACUCCUACGGGAGGCAGCAGUGGGGAAUAUUGGACAAUGGGCGCAAGCCUGAUCCAGCCAUGCCGCGUGAGUGAUGAAGGCCUUAGGGUUGUAAAGCUCUUUCAGUGGGGACGAUAAUGACGGUACCCACAGAAGAAGCCCCGGUAACUUCGUG